UGGGGAAUAUUGCACAAUGGGCGCAAGCCUGAUGCAGCCAUGCCGCGUGUGUGAAGAAGGCCUUCGGGUUGUAAAGCACUUUCAGCGAGGAGGAAGGGUGGUGUGUUAAUAGCGCAUCACAUUGACGUUACUCGCAGAAGAAGCACCGGCUAACUCCGUGCCAGCAGCCGCGGUAAUACGGAGGGUGCAAGCGUUAAUCGGAAUUACUGGGCGUAAAGCGCACUCAGGCGGUUUGUUAAGUCAGAUGUGAAAUCCCCGCGCUUAACGUGGGAACUGCAUUUGAAACUGGCAAGCUAGAGUCUUGUAGAGGGGGGUAGAAUUCCAGGUGUAGCGGUGAAAUGCGUAGAGAUCUGGAGGAAUACCGGUGGCGAAGGCGGCCCCCUGGACAAAGACUGACGCUCAGGUGCGAAAGCGUGGGGAGCAAACA
rnacentral:rRNA from 1 species